UACGUAGGGUGCAAGCGUUAAUCGGAAUUACUGGGCGUAAAGCGUGCGCAGGCGGUUGUGCAAGACAGAUGUAAAAUCCCCGGGCUUAACCUGGGAACUGCAUUUGUGACUGCACGGCUAGAGUGUGUCAGAGGGGGGUAGAAUUCCACGUGUAGCAGUGAAAUGCGUAGAUAUGUGGAGGAAUACCGAUGGCGAAGGCAGCCCCCUGGGAUAACACUGACGCUCAUGCACGAAAGCGUGGGGAGCAAACAGG
rnacentral:rRNA from 1 species